GUGGCAGCCGCCGCGGUAAAACCAGCACCUCAAGUGGUCAGGAUGAUUAUUGGGCCUAAAGCAUCCGUAGCCGGCUCUGUAAGUUUUCGGUUAAAUCUGUACGCUUAACGUACAGGCUGCCGGGAAUACUGCAGAGCUAGGGAGUGGGAGAGGUAGACGGUACUCGGGAGGAAGUGGUAAAAUGCUUUGAUCUCUCGAUGACCACCUGUGGCGAAGGCGGUCUACCAGAACACGUCCGACGGUGAGGGAUGAAAGCUGGGGGAGCGAACCGGAUUAGAUACCCGGGUAGUCCCAGCUGUAAACUAUGCAAACUCAGUGCUGCAUUGGCUUGUGGCCAAUGCAGUGUUGCAGGGAAGCCGUUAAGUUUGCCGCCUGGGAAGUACGUACGCAAGUAUGAAACUUAAAGGAAUUGGCGGGGGAGCACCACAAGGGGUGAAGCCUGCGGUUCAAUUGGAGUCAACGCCAGAAAUCUUACCCGGAGAGACAGCAGAAUGAAGGUCAAGCUGAAGACUUUACCAGACAAGCUGAGAGGUGGUGCAUGGCCGUCGCCAGCUCGUGCCGUGAGAUGUCCUGUUAAGUCAGGUAACGAGCGAGAUCCCUGCCUCUAGUUGCCACCAUUACUCUCAGGAGUAGUGGGGCGAAUUAGCGGGACCGCCGCAGUUAAUGCGGAGGAAGGAAGGGGCCACGGCAGGUCAGUAUGCCCCGAAACUCUGGGGCCACACGCGGGCUGCAAUGGUAAUGACAACGGGUCCCGAAUCCGAAAGGAAGAGGUAAUCCUCAAACAUUACCACAGUUAUGACUGAGGGCUGCAACUCGCCCUCACGAAUAUGGAAUCCCUAGUAACUGCGUGUCAUUAUCGCGCGGUGAAUACGUCCCUGCUCCUUGCACACACCGCCCGUC
rnacentral:rRNA from 1 species